rnacentral:rRNA from 1 species
AUUGAACGCUAGCGGGAUGCUUUACACAUGCACGUCGAACGAGUGGAGGACGGGUGAGUAAUAUAUCAGAACGUGCCCAGUAGCGGGGGAUAACUACUCGAAAGAGUGGCUAAUACCGCAUCCUAUUGUAGCGGCCGAUAUCGGAGUAGCUAGUUGGUGGGGUAAAGGUUCACCAAGGCAACGAUCCGUAGCUGGUUUGAGAGGCCUACCAGCCACACUGGGACUGAGAAACGGCCCAGAGUCCGACGGGAGGCAGCAGGGGGGAAUUUGGGACAAUGGGGGAAACCCUGAGCCAGCCAUGCCGCGUGUAUGAGAAGGCCCUAGGGUUGUAAAGUACUUUCAGUCGGGAGGCGUUACCGACAGAAGAAGCACCGGCUAACGCCGUGCCAGCAGCCGCGGUAAUAC